CACGUAGGGGACGAGCGUUGUCCGGAUUCAUUGGGCGUAAAGCGCGCGUAGGCGGCUCGGAAAGUCGGUCGUGAAAUGCCGGGGGCUCAACCCCGGGACUGCGUCCGAUACUUCCGGGCUGGAGGUAGGUAGGGGAGAUCGGAAUUCCUGGUGUAGCGGUGAAAUGCGCAGAUAUCAGGAGGAACACCGGUGGCGAAGGCGGAUCUCUGGGCCUUACCUGACGCUGAGGCGCGAAAGCUAGGGAGCGAACAGG
rnacentral:rRNA from 1 species